rnacentral:tRNA from 1 species
GCCGGAGUAGCUCAGUGGUAGAGCACCGGUUUUGUAAACCGGGUACGAGGGUUCGAUUCCCCCCUCCGGCU